rnacentral:rRNA from 1 species
UGCAGAAUCCCGUGAACCAUUUAUUCUUUGAAUGCAGGUUGCGCCCGAGGCCUAUUGGUCAUGGGCACGUCUGUCUGGGCAUCA